AUUGAACGCUGGCGGCAUGCUUUACACAUGCAAGUCGAACGGUAACAGGGUGCUUGCACCGCUGACGAGUGGCGAACGGGUGAGUAAUGCGUCGGAACGUGCCGAGUAGUGGGGGAUAACGCAGCGAAAGUUGUGCUAAUACCGCAUACGUACUGAGGUAGAAAGUGGGGGACCUUCGGGCCUCACGCUAUUCGAGCGGCCGACGUCUGAUUAGCUAGUAGGUGAGGUAAAGGCUCACCUAGGCGACGAUCAGUAGCGGGUCGGAGAGGAUGAUCCGCCACACUGUGACUGAGAAACGGCCCAGACUCCUACGGGAGGCAGCAGUGGGGAAUUUUGGACAAUGGGCGAAAGCCUGAUCCAGCCAUGCCGCGUGUCUGAAGAAGGCCUUCGGGUUGUAAAGGACUUUUGUCGGGGAGGAAAUCCCCAGCGUUAAUACCGCUGGGGGAUGACAGUACCUGAAGAAUAAGCACCGGCUAACUACGUGCCAGCCGCCGCAGUAA
rnacentral:rRNA from 1 species